AAUGGGGUAUGGUAGUAGGUGCCAGGUCCACUGGUUAAAGCCCCUUUGAAUGGGGUAUGGUAGUAGGUGCCAGGUCCACUGGUUAAAGCCCCUUUGAAUGGGGUAUGGUAGUAGGUGCCAGAUCCACUGGUUAAAACCCCUUUGAAUGGGGUAUGGUAGUAGGUGCCAGGUCCACUGGUUAAAGCCCCUUUGAAUGGGGUAUGGUAGUAGGUGCCAGGUCCACUGGUUAAAGCCCCUUUGAAUGGGGUAUGGUAGUAGGUGCCAGGUCCACUGGUUAAAACCCCUUUGAAUGGGGUAUGGUAGUAGGUGCCAGGUCCACUGGUUAAAACCCCUUUGAAUGGGGUAUGGUAGUAGGUGCCAGGUCCACUGGUUAAAACCCCUUUGAAUGGGGUAUGGUAGUAGGUGCCAGGUCCACCGGUUGAGUGUCAAGAACUGCAACGCUGCUGGGUUUUAUUCACACUCAACAGUUUCCCCAUUUGUAUCAAGAAUGGUCCACCAAGGACAUCCAGCCAAUUUGAAGCAACUGUAGGAAGCAUUGGAGUCCACAUGGGCCAGCAUCCCUGGAGUCAAGAAGGGCCAGCAUCCCUGUGGAACGCUUUCAACACCUUGUAGAGUCAACAUGGACCAGCAUCCCUGUGGAACGCUUUCAACACCUUGUAGAGUCCACAUGGACCAGCAUCCCUGUGGAACGCUUUCAACACCUUGUAGAGUCCACAUGGACCAGCAUCCCUGUGGAACGCUUUAGACACCUUGUAGAGUCCAUGUCCCGAUGAAUUGAUGCUGUUCUGAGGUGCACCUCAAUAUUAGGAAGGUAAUGUUUUGUACACUCAGAUGAAAUAGGUCUAACAUUCAGCUGAGGGUUGUGUAUUAUAUCAAUACCACAGAUGGGUAAGGCUUACUAUACAAUCUUUAAUACAGUCCAACAGGAGCAGUAGGUUGAGGGUGUAAAAUGUUUAUUAAAUACACUAGAAACAUCAGAAUGGACAUGCAGGCUUUGCCCUCCCUGGUCACCAGGGAGCGCCACACCCACCUACCAGUAGAAUACAAACAUUAUCAAAAUACAGUACAGAGAUCCUCAAAACACACACCUCACUGACCAUAU